CCCUUAGAUGUUCUGGGCCGCACGCGCGCUACACUGAAUGGGUCAACGUGUUUUCCCUUCCCGAGAGGGACGGGUAACCCGCUGAACCCCAUUCGUGGUAGGGAUCGGAGCUUGCAAUUGUUCUCCGUGAACCAGGAAUUCCCAGUAAGCGCAAGUCAUCAGCUUGCAUUGAUUACGUCCCUGCCCUUUGUACACACCGCCCGUCGCACCUACCGAUUGAAUGGUCCGGUGAAAUCUCGGGACGGCGGCUUGGUCGCUUGCGUCCGACUGCUGAAACUUGAUUAAACCAUAUCAUUUAGAGGAAGGUGAAGUCGUAACA
rnacentral:rRNA from 1 species